AAUUGGAACAAUACAGAGGAGAUUAGCACGGAUGACACGCAAAUUCGUGAAGCAUUCAGUAUUUUU
rnacentral:snRNA from 1 species